CAGGGAUUGAACCCAGAGCUGCUUAACCACUGAGACUAACCAGGACACUUAAUUCAGUGUAAGAAUUGAAACAAAAAGGCAAAGAGUGUUGCUGGAACAUGUAUGUCAACUGGAACAAGUAUGUCAGCCCAGUUUUGCAGCUCUACACAUGUCUGAGAUUGGCCAUGAAAACACAGUGAGUGUUCAUUCUGGGGUUACAAACAAAAUUUAUUAAGUGAAUUUGCAAAUACAGAAUUCAAAAAUAAUGAGGAUCAAUUAUAUUCAGAAGUAGUGAUUCCCAUACCUUGGUGGACUUGAAGAGAAAAUGAAUCUGGUAUUGGUUAAAAAUGAACAUAAUUGAUUAUACCUUUCAUAUCAUUUUCAAGUAGGAUACAGCAGAAAGUACAUGGAAUUGGGAGAAUUGAAGUCUCUAUAGUUCCACGUCUUUGUCUUACUGUGUAGGUAUCUGAAAUCCUGUUUCUCAGUUUCCACCUCUCUAAAUUGAGACCAGUAAUUUUCGUCUUACUCUGUCAUUGUGAUCAUGAGAGUGCAAUGACUUUUCUUAAGGUCUCACUGCUAUCUAAUGUUGAGAUUGGGAUUGAAGGAGAAGCCAGUUUAUACAUCAGAAUCUUCCUUUGCAGAUUUGUUGGUUCUCCUACAGAAAACAGGCCAAAUUUAUGCUAAUAUUGGGAGUUGAAUAAUGAGUGUGUUUUCAUUCAAAAUACCUUAUGAACUCAAGGAAGCCAAAUACAUCUAUCAGCGUUUUCUGAUUAAACUGUCUUAAAUAAGAAAAAAUAAUGAGUCAAUUGUUAUUUGAUACCCCCGCCCUGCAUCUGCUAGUAUUUUAAGAGGAAAAUAAGAAUGAGAUACAACAUUUACCUUCUGACAUAACAAAAGGGCCCAGUGAGAAGUUGGUUAUGCUGUGAUUGAUAGGUCUUGGUGUAGGUAGAGGAGACACCACAAAAAGAUCCACCCCUCUGCCAGCCUUGGGCCCCUGUACUGUUCUUCUAUCCUGCUAAAUUAAAUAUGUAACCUUUUGGUUUGGGGGCAGAAACUAUGGCACAUGCACAUAUGAACCAUGGUCCUGGAAGAAUCAUUCUUAUUUAAUCAGUAUUGGCCAUGUGUACCCUAAGGAUAAGUGCCAAUGCCGUAAGCCUUCUACUUUGUGGCCAGGAGGAGUAGGGAGGGACCUGGGCAGGCGGAGGGGGGCAUUGAUAUACUAAUUAUAUAAUAUUUAGCUUAAAAGACACUAGAGUGGACAUCCAGAGUCCAUGCUAAGAGCCACAUCUUCCCAAUGUGCCGCCCCAUCCCUUUUCCUUUGUUUCAUUCACAGGGAGCCUUGUUAUUGCUUAAAAUCCAAUGAAUCUGAAAAAUUUCAACUAUAGUACUUGAGGGGUCACUCCACUCAGAGGUAUUUUACAAUUUAGUAUGCCACUCUUUUUUUAAUAUUUAUUUUUUUAGUUUUAGGUGGACACAAUAUCUUUUAUUUUUAUGUGGCGCUGAGAAUGGAACCCAGUGCCUCAUCCAUGCUAGGUGAGUGUGCUACCACUUGAGCCAUGUACCCAGCCCCAAGUAUGCCACUCUUAAAGAUAGAAUAUUUUUCAGAUCCCCAAAAUAAAUCUUCGAUGUUAGAGAUGAGAUUCUCUGAUGCCCUCAUUUCUCUUAGAAGCCCCUAAUCACAUCAAAUGAACCUACUCAAUUUUAGGCUAAAGCCUUGUAAAAAGCAAGUGAAAUCUGAAUCUCCCUUAUGAGAAAAACAUUUUUUAGUGAUAACUUAAGUGUCACUUUGUACAACGCUCUUUUGCAAUAUACUAUAUUAUAUGGCCAAAUAUCCAUGUUUCAGAGUUGUACUAGGUGGCUUGUAUAAGCACUAUUUAUUGUAAAGUGGGGGACCAUAUAUCUAUAAAGUUCUUUCCAAUUUCCAAAAUCAGUUGAUAAACCUGGCUAUACCUUUAUUUUUAUUGAACAAUCAUGACA
rnacentral:lncRNA from 1 species